CACAGGUUUGGUCCCAGCCUUAUUAUUAAUUGCCAGUAGAUAUACACAUGCAAGUCUCCACCUUCCAGUGAGAAUGCCCUCUAGGCCCCCUUGGCCAAAAGGAGCAGGUAUCAAGCACGCGGUCCUCCCCUCCCCAGCUCACAACACCUUGCCAAGCCACACCCCCACGGGAAACAGCAGUGAUAAACAUUAAGCAAUAAACGAAAGUUUGACUAAGCCAUACUUACACACCCAGGGUUGGUAAAUUUCGUGCCAGCCACCGCGGUCAUACGAUUAACCCAAAUUAAUAAACAACGGCGUAAAGAGUGUUUUAGAAAUCAACCACAUACUAAAGUUAAGAAUUAACUAAGCCGUAAAAAGCCCUAGUUAAGACAAAAACUAUCAACGAAAGUGACUUUAAACCCCUGAAUACACGACAGUUAAGACCCAAACUGAGAUUAGACACCCCACUAUGCUUAACCAUAAACAAAAAUAAUUAGUAAACAAAAUUAUUCGCCAGAGUACUACAAGCAACAGCUCAAAACUCAAAGGACUUGGCGGUGCUUUAUACCCCUCUAGAGGAGCCUGUUCUAUAAUCGAUAAACCCCGAUAAACCUCACCACCCCUUGCUAAUUCAACCUAUAUACCGCCAUCCUCAGCAAACCCUGCUAAGGACUUAAAGUAAGCAAGAUACUUACACACUAAAACGUUAGGUCAAGGUGUAGUCUAUGGGACGGGAAGAAAUGGGCUACAUUUCCUACGCCCAUAGGACACAAACGCUAGCCCCAUGAAACACAAGGCAAAAGGCGGAUUUAGUAGUAAACCAAGAAUAGAGAGCCUGAUUGAAUUGGGCAAUGAAGCACGCACACACCGCCCGUCACCCUCCUCAAACAUACUACGUCACACAUAUACACAAUACCCUGAACCAACCAUAUUAGAGGAGACAAGUCGUAACAAGGUAAGCAUACUGGAAAGUGUGCUUG
rnacentral:ncRNA from 1 species